GAUGAACGCUGGCGGCGUGCUUAACACAUGCAAGUCGAACGGAAAGGCUCCUGCUUGCCGGGGUACUCGAGUGGCGAACGGGUGAGUAACACGUGGGUGAUCUGCCCUGCACUUCGGGAUAAGCCUGGGAAACUGGGUCUAAUACCGGAUAGGACGAUGUUUUGGAUGCCAUUGUGGAAAGUUUUUCGGUGUGGGAUGAGCUCGCGGCCUAUCAGCUUGUUGGUGGGGUAAUGGCCUACCAAGGCGUCGACGGGUAGCCGGCCUGAGAGGGUGUACGGCCACAUUGGGACUGAGAUACGGCCCAGACUCCUACGGGAGGCAGCAGUGGGGAAUAUUGCACAAUGGGCGCAAGCCUGAUGCAGCGACGCCGCGUGGGGGAUGACGGCCUUCGGGUUGUAAACUGCUUUCGUCAGGGACGAAGCGAAAGUGACGGUACCUGGAGAAGAAGCACCGGCUAACUACGUG
rnacentral:rRNA from 1 species